rnacentral:lncRNA from 1 species
AUGCCCAACUACGUUUUCCGAGAUCUGGCGGCCAAGCACGGCCCCCUUAUGCAUCUUCAGCUGGGCGAGCUCCCCAUCCUCAUCGUCUCCUCCAUCGACCUCGCAAACCAAGUGGUGAAAACUCACGACCUCAUCUUCGCCAACAGGCCUCCGGGGCUGGCGCCGGAGACGGUGGCCUACAAUCGCACCAACAUCGUCUUCUCUCCCUACGGCGACCACUGGCGCCAGCUGCGGAGGAUCUGCACGCAGGAGCUCCUCAACGCGCGCCGCGUGCAGUCCUUCCGCCACAUAAGGGAGGAGGAGAGCAUGAACCUGUG